rnacentral:rRNA from 1 species
UGCCCUACGGGAGGCAGCAGUGGGGAAUAUUGCGCAAUGGGGGCAACCCUGACGCAGCAACGCCGCGUGCGGGACGAAGGCCUUCGGGUUGUAAACCGCUUUCAGCAGGGAAGAACCAUGACGGUAUCUGCAGAAGAAGCCACGGCUAACUACGUGCCAGCAGCCGCGGUAAUACGUAGGUGGCAAGCGUUAUCCGGAAUUACUGGGUGUAAAGGGUGUGUAGGCGGGGCUGCAAGUCAGAUGUGAAAAUUAUGGGCUCAACCCAUAACCUGCGUCUGAAACUGUAGCUCUUG